rnacentral:lncRNA from 1 species
CUCUUCAUUUUUUCUCUCCUUCCCCCUCUUCUCCCUUCCUUUUUGCCCCUUUUCCCUCCCUUUUUCCUCCCUUUUUGCCCCCUUUCCCAUGUUUUCCCCAUGUUUUUUCCGUAUUUUUCCCACAUUUUUCCCCAUAUUUUCCCCAUGUUUUUCCCCAUAUUUUCCCCAUGUUUUUCCCCAUGUUUUCCCCAUGUUUUUCCUGUGUUUUUCCCCGUGUUUUUCCCAUAUUUUUCUCAUAUUUUUCCAAUGUUUUUCCUGUAUGUUUUCCCCAUGUUUUUCCUGUGUUUUUCCCCGUGUUUUUCCCAUAUUUUUCUCAUAUUUUUCCAAUGUUUUUCCUGUGUUUUCCCCAUAUUUUUCCCCGUGUUUUUCCCGUGUUUUUCCCCCUUUUUUUUCCCCAUGUUUUUCCCAUAUUUUCCCCAUAUUUUCCCCGUGUUUUUCCCCAUGUUUUUCCCCAUGUUUUUCCCAUAUUUUCCCCAUGUUUUUCCCAUGUUUUCCCCAUGUUUUUCCCAUGUUUUCCCCAUGUUUUUCCCCAUGUUUUUCCCCAUGUUUUCCCCAUGUUUUUCCCCAUGUUUUCCCCAUGUUUUUCCCCAUGUUUUUCCCCAUGUUUUCCCCAUAUUUUCCCCGUGUUUUCCCCACGUUUUUCCCAUAUUUUCCCUGUGUUUUUCCCCAUGUUUUCCCCAUGUUUUCCCCACGUUUUUCCCAUAUUUUCCCCAUGUUUUUCCCCGUGUUUUUCCCCAUGUUUUUCCCCAUAUUUUCCCCAUGUUUUUCCCAUGCUUUCCCCAUGUUUUCCCCAUGUUUUUCCCCGUGUUUUUCCCCAUGCUUUCCCCAUGUUUUCCCCAUGUUUUUCCCCAUGUUUUCCCCAUGUUUUCCCGUGUUUUUCCCCCUUUUCCUCACCCGUGGUGGAGUUGGGGAGCCUCUUCUUGCCGCUGCCGCUGGAGAUGCGCUGCUGGAGAGCCUCGAAGAAGGACUGGGGGAUGUGGAACACCAGCGGCUCUGGGCGGCCUGGGAGGGGCACAGAGGGGUCAGGAAAAGGGUUGGGGGUCCCAAAUCCUCAUCCCAAAGGGUCCCUGGGGCCCAUGGGAUCAGCAGGGGUUGAAUUCCCCGGGAAAUGUCUGGGAUUUGGAGGCUGACCCCUCGCUGUUGCUGUUCUGGGUGGUGGUGGUGGUGGUGGGAGGUGUGGAUGGAGUUUGGGUGUUCCCAAAAUGGCAAAAAAAAAGGGACACAGCGUUCCCAAAAUGGCAACAAAAGUGUUAAUAAAUGGCACCAGAAAUGUUCCCAAAAAGGCACCAAAAAUAUUCCCAAAAAGACACCAAAUAUCCCCAAAAAGGCAACAAAAGCCUUCCCAAAACAGCACCAAAACUAUUCCCAAAAAGACACCAAAUAUCCCCAAAAAGGACACAGCAUUCCUAAAAUGGCACCAAAAGUGUUCCCAAAAAGGACACAGCAUUCCAAACAUGGCAUCAAAAGAAUUCCCCAAAAGGCCACAGAAGUCUUUCCAAAAUGGCACUAAAAGUGUUCCCCAAAAGACACCAUCCCCAAAAAGGACACAGCAUUCCCUAAAUGGCACCAAAAAAUGUUAACAAAUGGCACCAGAAAUGUUCCCAAAAUGGCAC